GUGGGAUUCUUGUGGAUGUUAGUUGCGGAAGCGGUUUGUUUUCCCGCAAAUUUGCAAAGUCUGGCAAAUACUCUGGCGUGAUUGCUCUCGACUAUUCUGAAAACAUGCUUCGUCAAUGCAAAGAAUUCAUCAAAAAUGAUAAUACUUUUGACAACUCAACUAAUAUAGCAGUAGUGAGAGCAGAUGUUUCUCGCCUCCCUUUCCCAUCGGGUUCUGUUGACGCGGUUCAUGCCGGUGCUGCUUUGCACUGUUGGCCUUCUCCUACAAAUGCUGUAAGUUCUUGAAUUUGUCAGAGCUUCAUGAGUGUUGCAAAAUGCA
rnacentral:lncRNA from 1 species